GUUUCCCUACGGGACGCAGCAGUGAGGAAUAUUGGUCAAUGGUCGGGAGACUGAACCAGCCAAGCCGCGUGAGGGAUGAAGGUACAGAGUAUCGUAAACCUCUUUUGUCAGGGAACAAAGGCGGGGACGUGUCCCCGGAUGAGUGUACCUGAAGAAAAAGCAUCGGCUAACUCCGUGCCAGCAGCCGCGGUAAUACGGCGGAUGCGAGCGUUAUCCGGAUUUAUUGGGUUUAAAGGGUGCGCAGGCGGGCUGUUAAGUCAGCGGUCAAAACCCGGGGCUCAACCCCGGCCCCCCGUUGAAACUGG
rnacentral:rRNA from 1 species